rnacentral:lncRNA from 1 species
AAGAAUAACAAUUCUAGUUCCCUACAAAUCAGCCGGUUCAGAGCUGUCCCUCAAAAUCCUGGCCGUCUCAGUGUUAAAGAAGUGCGACCUCUCUCCGCCCUGGGUGGCGCCAUCCAGACAAGGUGGGGCAGAUAGUGCCCUCUCUCCCCUCUGUCUCCCACUCUCUGUCUCUCCUUCCCUCUUUCUCCAAGCCCAGCGGAUCCAUUUCUCCUCCCGGCUGUGAUCAUGACAAGCGUCCCCGUUUCUUCCUUCUACCCCUGAGCCCCCCCUUCUUAAACUUGACCCACGUUGACCUCCACACCAUUACGUCUGAAUGGGUCGCCUGCAACUCAUUAAAAUCCACGACUGCAGCACAGAUGAAAGAUGAAGCGGAUUAACCGGGGGCUCCGAUGUAUCCGUGAGAUUGACUCUUCGCUGUAGGCAAUGGAAUCUUUUCUCUUUUUCUUAACAAUCAAUCAAGAGUGAAUUAAACAGAAGGGUUUCCGAAGACGCUCAUUAUCUCCAUUCCUCGAAACAGCCCCUCCCCAUUGCUCCAGCCUCUGCCCCUCACAAGCCGGCUGUGCCAUCCCUGCGUGUGGGCCUGCACUGGGCCAUUCAUUUUUCCUCGCCCCUGGGAAGAGUGGCGACCACCACUUCUUGGCGACGACUAUGGGGUCCUCCCCGUGGGCACAAUCAGGAGUUGGCAAUGCCCCAUACCCGAGGCCCUUUCAUGUCAAACCCAUUCACGUAGGCUGCGACUCACUGCAACCUGAUGCCAGCGGCCGGCCGCCAGCUCGGGGUUCUGUCACCAGGGCAGCGCUGGCCAGCAGCGAGGCAGGGGACGCCAAGCUCACAGGGAGAGGGAUUUCAUUUCUCUUCUGCUCACAUUUUUCUCAUUAAAAAUUUCAAAACCUCCCAAGACUCAGAAGUAAUUGCAGCAGAUUUCUAGUUCAAGCCCCUUUAUUUGCUACAAGAACCAAAGGAUGGGGGCGUGAAGCGAUCAGCCACGCACAGGCGUCGGACCUACGGGGCGCUGGACACGGAGGUCCUUCCCGCUCAGCACAAGCACUGUAGGAAAGCACCGGUCUCUUCUUCAACGCCUGGUAACCUCAGACUUUGGGACGACAGCCAUUCUGUUAGGAAGGCAUCGGUCUCUUCUUCAAUGCCUGGUAAACUCAGACUUUGAGACGACAGCCAUUCUGUUAGGAAGGCAUCGGUCUCUUCCUCAACGCCUGGUAACCUCAGACUUUGGGACGACAGCCAUUCUGUUAGGAAGGCAUCGGUCUCUUCUUCAAUGCCUGGUAACCUCAGACUUUGAGACGACAGCCAUUCUGUUAGGAAGGCAUCGGUCUCUUCCUCAACGCCUGGUAACCUCAGACUUUGGGACGACAGCCAUUCUGUUAGGAAGGCAUCGGUCUCUUCCUCAACGCCUGGUAACCUCAGACUUUGGGACGACAGCCAUUCUGUUAGGAAGGCAUCGGUCUCUUCCUCAACGCCUGGUAAACUCAGACUUUGGGACGACAGCCAUUCUGUUAGGAAGGCAUCGGUCUCUUCCUCAACGCCUGGUAACCUCAGACUUUGGGACGACAGCCAUUCUGUUAGGAAGGCAUCGGUCUCUUCUUCAACGCCUGGUAACCUCAGACUUUGAGACGACAGCCAUUCUGUUAGGAAGGCAUCAGUCUCUUCCUCAACGCCUGGUAACCUCAGACUUUGGGACGACAGCCAUUCUGUUGGGUGUGUUGUGGCCUGCCUGCCAUUUCCCUGUCUUCUGACUUCCAUAGUAUCUGUCAUGAAGCCCACAGUCGUCAUUCUCACCUUUGCACCUCAGCAUGGAAUGGGUCUUUUCUCUCCAGCUACUUUUAAAAUGUUUUCUUUACCACCCGUUUUCAGCAAUUUGAUUGUGGUAGGCCUUGUAAGUAUUUAUUGUGUGUCUGUGUGUAUGUGUAUGCUUUUUUACUUGAGAUUACUUGAGCUUCCUAGAUCUAUUCACUUAGAGUUUUCAUCAAAUUUAGAAAUGUUUUGGCCCCUAUUUGUUCAAAUGUUGUUCUCUCAUUUCCUUUACUCCUUCUGGGAUCCCAGGUAUAAUUAUGUGACACCUUGGUGUUGUUCCACAGGUUACUGAGACUUCGUCUCAAAAAUAAAAAAAGAGUUUCACUCUCGUCACACAGGCUGGAGUGCAAUGGUGCAAUCUUGGCUCACUGCAACCUCCGCCUCCCGAGUUCAAGCUAUUCUCCUGCCUCAGCCACCUGAGUAGCUGGGACUACAGGUAUGCAGCCACCAUGCCUGGCUAAUUUUUGUAUUUUUUAGUACAAAUGGGGUUUCACCAUGUUGGCCAGGCUGGUCUUGAACUCCUAACCUCAAGUGGUACUCCUGCCUCGGCCUCCCAAAGUACUGGGAUUACAGGUGUGAGCCACUGCACCUGGCAUGAGAUUGUAUCUUUUUCCUUAGUCUUUUCAUUUUCUGUGCAUUGUUUCCAAUUUACUUGAUUGCUAUUUUAUUAAAUCCACUCAUCUGCUUUAGGAAAACAUAUGGUCAAACUCAAUCAUCUAGAUUUUGAGAAUAAAUUUUUGGAUUUUGAAGCUACAGCCUUCUCAGUCAAAAAGUUCUUAACUAGGAAAGGUUUAAGCAAAGCAAGGCUAUGGGCUGCUGCCUGUGGAUUUUUUUUAUUUUUGUAUGUUUUUAAAUAAAGUUUUAGCUGGGCACAGUAGCUCACACUUGUAAUCCCAAAUACUUUGAGAGGCUGAGGUGGAAGGAUUGCUUAAGCCCAUGAAUUUGAGACUAGCCUGGCCAACAUAGUGAGAUAAUGAGAAAACUUCUCUACAAAAAAUAAAAAAUAUUAGCCAGGUAUGGUGACACAUGCCUGUAGUCCCAGCUGAGGUGGGAGGAUUGCUUGAGACCAGGAGCUUGAAGCUACUGUGAGCCAUGAUCAGGCCACUGCACUCCAACCUGGGAGACAGAGUGAGACCUUGUCUCAAAAAAAUAAAAAUAAAGUUUGAUUGGAGCAUAGCUAUGCUUAUUUAUUUACGAAUUCUAUGAUUUGUUGUGAUUUACGUUGACAAAAUUCAGUAGGUAAACCUGAGACCAUAUGGCUUGCAAGGCCUGAAACACUAU